AUUGAACGCUGGCGGCAGGCCUAACACAUGCAAGUCGAGCGGUAACACAGAGGAGCUUGCUCCUUGGGUGACGAGCGGCGGACGGGUGAGUAAUGCCUGGGGAUCUGCCCGAUAGAGGGGGAUAACUACGGGAAACUGUAGCUAAUACCGCAUAAUGUCUACGGACCAAAGCGGGGGCUCUUCGGACCUCAUGCUAUCGGAUGAACCCAGGUGGGAUUAGCUAGUUGGUGAGGUAAUGGCUCACCAAGGCGACGAUCUCUAACUGGUUUGAGAGAAUGACCAGUCACACUGGAACUGAGACACGGUCCAGACUCCUACGGGAGGCAGCAGUGGGGAAUAUUGCACAAUGGGCGCAAGCCUGAUGCAGCCAUGCCGCGUGUGUGAAGAAGGCCUUCGGGUUGUAAAGCACUUUCAGCGGGGAGGAAGGGUCACUAGUUAAUACCUAGUGGCAUUGACGUUACUCGCAGAAGAAGCACCGGCUAACUCCGUGCCAGCAGCCGCGGUAAUACGGAGGGUGCAAGCGUUAAUCGGAAUUACUGGGCGUAAAGCGCACGCAGGCGGUUUGUUAANUCANAUGUGAAAUCCCCGAGCUCAACUUGGGAACUGCAUUUGAAACUGGCAAGCUAGAGUCUUGUAGAGGGGGGUAGAAUUCCNGG
rnacentral:rRNA from 1 species